rnacentral:rRNA from 1 species
GGCCCGCACAAGCGGAGGGACAUGUGGUUUAAUUCGAUGAUACGCGAGGAACCUUACCCGGGCUUGAAUUGCAGAGGAAGGAUUUGGAGACAAUGACGCCCUUCGGGGCCUCUGUGAAGGUGCUGCAUGGUUGUCGUCAGCUCGUGCCGUGAGGUGUCGGCUUAAGUGCCAUAACGAGCGCAACCCCUCUCCUUAGUUGCCAUCAGGUGAAGCUGGGCACUCUGGGGACACUGCCACCGUAAGGUGUGAGGAAGGUGGGGAUGACGUCAAAUCAGCACGGCCCUUACGUCCGGGGCUACACACGUGUUACAAUGGCAGGUACAGAGAGACGGUCCCUUGCAAAAUGGAUCAAAUCCUUAAAGCCUGUCUCAGUUCGGACUGGGGUCUGCAACCCGACCCCACGAAGCUGGAUUCGCUAGUAAUCGCGCAUCAGCCAUGGCGCGGUGAAUACGUUCCCGGGC